UGCUGGUAGCACCACUCCCAAAGGUGAAUCGCAAGGUAGAGAAGUGAUCCUGAGCAAGUCCCCCCUUGUUUGUUGAUAUAGUACAUGGUUGUGGUGUUGUCUGUCACUAAUUGAACACCACGACCCUGCACCAUGGGAAGGAAAGCUCUGAAGGCUUUGAUGACCACUUUGAUCUCCAGAUGGUUUAUGUGGAGGUUUCGUUCUUUUGCAGACCAGAGAGCAUGAACCUUGUGCUGUCCGCAGUGUGCUCCCCAUCCUGUCAGACUGGCGUCCAUUGUCACUUGCACGAGCCUGAGUCUUGGAUGGGGAGACUACCAACCAAUCGUCUAUGUAAGAGUAGACGUGGAUGCCGUUGAGGCGUAGGUAUGACCUUUGUGAAUGUCCUGGGAGCUGUUGAAAGUCCGAAAGGCAAAGCCAGGAAUUGAUAAAUGGUUCCCUGGAAGAUGAACUGCAGGGGCAUGAUGGAUUCCAAGGUCACCAUCCAGAAGUGCCUUGGAUGUAGGCAGCUUAUAGGAUUGCCUACGCUGAGACUGCUGAGGACGAUAGCUGGGAGCGGAGGAAGAAGCUUGAGAAGAUCUUUGCUGAGAUAGGUUCUUAUAUGGUUUGAGAGCUGGAGCAGCAGAAGCAUUCAACGUUGUAGCAGAUUUUUUAGAGGAAAGGACUUCUUUGCGGCUUUGCCAGUCUUAGAAGCAGCCGGUUGAGGGGAAGCUGCAGAUUCGGAAUGAGGAGUAGCUGACGGUGAGGCAAGUUCCAUGUCCGAGGGCUUGGUGAAAGACAGUGUAGAUUCCCACAGAUGGUAUUUUAGACGUUGUUGCCUGGCUUUCAAAGCCGCCUUAGUAAAGACUUUACAGUGCUUGCAGGAUUUUGCCUUUAAAAGGUGGGCUUCUCCCAGGCAAAAAAGGCAACGAUCAUGCCCGUCUUGGUGGGGAAUCUUCCAAGAACAAACCACACAAUGGUUGAAAGUCCUGAGGGGGACAUAAAAGCUAAAAAAAGUCUUACAGGGAGCCGUUUGCGAGGCGGGGAAAAAGGCGGGAAAUCCGAAGCAGCCAAGUUUGAGGGGAAACACUAAAGCAGAUUCCGUGAAAAGAGAGGUCCACAUCAAGGGAUAUGACAGUUCUCGUAGUCA